AGUGAACGCUGGCGGUAGGCCUAACACAUGCAAGUCGAACGGCAGCACAGUAAGAGCUUGCUCUUACGGGUGGCGAGUGGCGGACGGGUGAGGAAUACAUCGGAAUCUACUUUUUCGUGGGGGAUAACGUAGGGAAACUUACGCUAAUACCGCAUACGACCUACGGGUGAAAGCAGGGGAUCUUCGGACCUUGCGCGAUUGAAUGAGCCGAUGUCGGAUUAGCUAGUUGGCGGGGUAAAGGCCCACCAAGGCGACGAUCCGUAGCUGGUCUGAGAGGAUGGUGAGCGACAUGGGAACGGAGACACGGGACAGAGUACUACGGGAGGAAGCAGGGGGGAAGAUGGGACAAUGGGCGGAGUAAUGAUCCAGUCAGACAGAGAGGGUGAAGAAGGACUGUGGGGUGGAAAGGGCUGGGGGGGGGAAAGAAAAGAAGAAGGGGAAGACCCCGGGGGGCUGACGGGACCAAAAGAAGAAGCACAGGCUAACUGCGUG
rnacentral:rRNA from 1 species